CAGCCCUGGCGCUGCUCCCAGACCCACCCCUAGCUGCAGCCCCAGCCUUGGCCCCCUUACCUCUGUCCCCUGUAGUUCUGGGCCUGCCCCUAAUGUUUUGCUGAUUUCCUGAUGUCCCUGUAUGGUAGAGCCAGAUCUAGCUCUGGGGCUGCAGUGAGUGCUAUUAGCUGCUGGGCUGUGGCUCACAGGCUGGAAACACCAGAGCUAGCUGAGUGGUGCAGCAUAACUGUGCGCAGCUGAAGUUGGGAAGGAAGACUGGUAUAUCUCCCAAUGAAAGUAGAGUCUCUUUUUGUUUAAUCCAGAGGUUUGACAUUGUAUGCUUAUCCUCGAGCCAGACCCACAACCCAAUUUAUUUGCAUACACUUGUCUUUCAGCAAGGUUAUAUCUUGCAAAGGCUCAGCUGCCCCACUGGAAAACCCCUUUUACACCUGUUUCCCAUUUGUUCCCCCAAGUAAGCAGCCAUAUGGGAGUAUGUGCUUGCACAAGCUUUUGAAAAUUUGGCUCUGAAUCUGUCAGCUGCUUUCUGACACUUGAGUACUAUGCUAUAAGACCCAGCCCUGCCCAUCUGUGACUAAUUAAAGGAAACUGCAGCUGCAUCAAAUAUCAAACAGCAGUUAGUGAGACAGUCUGAGUUUGCUGUAUAGAAGCCUUGCAGCAGAAACUAGUUAUUGUUCGGUUUAAUAAGAAGUUACAGGAGAGGUGGAGGUUUUGGUCCAGUAGCAAUUUCAGGAGGAGUAGAAGGGAUUUUAAUGUCUGAAGAGGGAGAGAAAUGAAUCAGCAAAUUAUCCUGGAGAUGGAAGACAGACACUGUACAGCAAGAGCAAACCUCAGAGCAGGGAGGCCAACGCUGGAGUGAAGGUUAUCCAGCAAGUUCUUCGCCUUAUGUUCUGAUUUGCCUCCCCCAGUCUACCAGCAGCAGCCAGGUGGAGAAGGAAUUUCAGAGCUAGUACAAUAUCUACACUUAUGCAGCAGAACCUCAGAGUUAUGAAUUGACCAACCACGCACCUCAUUUGGAACUAUUCCAUCCCUCUCAUGACCAUAGUCAUGUAUUCGUCAUGUAACAAAUGUAGGAUGCAGGAAAAUAUGAUAAAGAAAAAUAUAGGAAGGGAAGCAAAGCAAAGCAAAGCAAAUGGACAGGAGACUAGGGAAGAUACCUGAAGAGAAUCCUGGUUUUCAGAGCGACUGACAGGGGUAUAGUCAUGAAGUGAAGAGCUGUGCAGAAUACUCAUAGAAGCUGAACUCACCAUGGAGGUUCCAAAAAGAAUCCAUAUGGAUAAGAACACUUGAGAAUGCGGCGAGUUUUUAAGAGCUCUUGUACUGCAUCUUCAAUGAAAGUGGUAUCAGGACAGCCUCCUUCAGCUGUACAGUAACACAAGC